UACAGAGGGGGCAAGCGUUAUUCGGAAUUAUUGGGCGUAAAGGGCGCGUAGGCGGCAUGGCAAGUGGAUGGUGAAAUCCCUCGGCUUAACCGAGGAACUGCCGUCCAAACUGCUUCGCUUGAGACCGGGAGAGGUGAGUGGAAUUCCCAGUGUAGCGGUGAAAUGCGUAGAUAUUGGGAGGAACACCAGUGGCGAAGGCGGCUCACUGGACCGGUACUGACGCUGAUGCGCGAAAGCGUGGGGAGCAAACGGG
rnacentral:rRNA from 1 species